GACGAACGCUGGCGGCGUGCUUAACACAUGCAAGUCGAACGGAAAGGCCCAGCUUGCUGGGUGCUCGAGUGGCGAACGGGUGAGUAACACGUGGGUGAUCUGCCCCUAACUUCGGGAUAAGCUUGGGAAACUGGGUCUAAUACCGGAUAGGACAAUCGUUUAGUGUCGGUUGUGGAAAGUUUUUUCGGUUUGGGAUGAGCCCGCGGCCUAUCAGCUUGUUGGUGGGGUAAUGGCCUACCAAGGCGUCGACGGGUAGCCGGCCUGAGAGGGUGGACGGCCACAUUGGGACUGAGAUACGGACCAGACUCCAACGGGAGGCAGCAGUGGGGAAUAUUGCACAAUGGGAGCAAGCCUGAUGCAGAGACGCCGCGUGGGGGAUGACGGCCUUCGGGUUGUAAACCUCUUUCGACAGGGACGAAGCUUUGGUGACGGUACCUGUAUAAGAAGCACCGGCUAACUACGUG
rnacentral:rRNA from 1 species